UACGUAGGGUGCAAGCGUUGUCCGGAAUUAUUGGGCGUAAAGAGCUCGUAGGCGGUUUGUCGCGUCUGCUGUGAAAACUGGAGGCUCAACCUCCAGCCUGCAGUGGGUACGGGCAAACUAGAGUGCGGUAGGGGAGAUUGGAAUUCCUGGUGUAGCGGGUGGAAUGCGCAGAUAUCAGGAGGAACACCGAUGGCGAAGGCAGAUCUCUGGGCCGUAACUGACGCUGAGGAGCGAAAGCGUGGGGAGCGAACAGGAUUAGAUACCUGGUAUCAGAC
rnacentral:rRNA from 1 species